UUACAAAAGUAAUUAAAUUCUAUACACGAAUGACGUUUUGGGUGAUUUACAUAACAUUUUUUUAGAUAUUAUUUCCAGAAUAAAGCCAGAAUCAACAUGGAAUCAACACCAACAUGGCACUGGAAAGUAUGAAUAAUUUCUAAAAGACAAAUCAAAUCAAGAGGAAAGCUAAUAUUACGGUGGAGACAUUAUUGGAAAAAUUGGAUAAUCUGGUGGAUGCAAAAAUGUGGAAAAGGAUGACAAAUAUGAAUAGACCAAAUGCAAAUAAUUAUCAAGAUAGGAUCACCACAAAAGCUCACAAAAUGGCGGAGAAAAUGAAUACAAACUUAAUUCAGGAGGUAGGUUUCGGGGAAUUUAAGGUAAAAUCUGCGGUGAGUGAUCGGUCAUAUACAGUAGCAUAUAACAUAUUGUGUGAUAAUGAAUGUAGGACUUUGUACUGCAGGGUUUGCGCAUUCACCGGUAUAAGUGCGAGUGUCCAGAUUAUUUAGUUCGGACCAAUAACUGCAAGCAUAUUCAUUAUGUUUGUAUGUUUGAAAGGGCCGGAGGCACUAAUUCUGUUUUAGACGAUGUACUACAGCAGGUGUCAGGUCAAACUUCGACGAUCAGAAAGGAGCAGGAAGAAGAGGCUCAGGAAUUUAUUGAAGAAUGCAAGAGGACAAUUAGUUCAGAGUUCAAUUCAUUAUUGAACUCUGAAGUAACGAAAAAAAUGAGAGUGGAAAUGGCGACAACAAACCUUAAGUUACGUUUACGGGAAUUAACAGAUAACAUAAACGAUGACGAUGAUGAUGAAAUACUUGAACUAAAUGAGUGGAGAAAUAUGCAAGGCGAAGAGAAUCAAAAAAGGGCAAUAUGGAGAGUCAAGAAUAUUAUCCCAGAAAGAAACAGGUAGUAUGAUGAAAUAGGCGGUGCUGGAAAUUUCAAUAAAAUAUUUUGGUGGCAGAAAGUGAGACUGUCCACUCAGUAGUGUUAUAGUGUUUGUACUGGUAUAGCAAAGUAGCAUAUAGGGAUAAGUAGCUUUAAACAUUCAAUUUGUCAAAACGAAACAUCAGAGUGAAUUUCCACAUAUUUGUAUUAUCUUAAUAUUAUUAGACAUUUUAGAUAAUAUUAUUAGACAAUUACUUUUUUAGGUUCAUUUAGAUUCUUUUGAUAACAAUAGCAGAAAAUAGCUAUCGAAAUGUCAAGGUACUUUAUUAUAUUUAUUAUAUAAUUUUUUUUACUAAUUGGAAUUUUCUCUGGUAAGAAUCCAACACUACCCAGGCUCUCGGUUUCACUGGGUGUCUUUGUAAAGAUUUUUUAUUCCUCCAGCCACCGGGCAACCCAGAUCACUAGAACACUAGUUUUGCGCGGUAUAUAUUGUACCGUGGAUGGCUGGGUAUCAAACUCUUUCUUCAGCUUCCAGGAACAAACUAACUUCAAAAUUACCGCCAACUUCACAAACAAUAACAAUAACAGACGGAAAACUCGCUCUUCCGACUCGCGGGGCUACAGCUUGCAAUUGACGAACUACAUCAGUGGUUCAUCAAGUGGAAGCUGAAGAUAAAUGCAGAGAAGAGUCAGGCCAUACUUAUUGGCAGGAAGCAGGACAGUGUCGAUGGCAACAUCACCAUAG
rnacentral:lncRNA from 1 species